rnacentral:rRNA from 1 species
GACGAACGCUGGCGGCGUGCUUAACACAUGCAAGUCGUACGGUAAGGCCCUUUCGGGGGUACACGAGUGGCGAACGGGUGAGUAACACGUGAGUAACCUGCCCACAACUUUGGGAUAACGCUAGGUAACUGGUGCUAAUACUGGAUAUGUGCUCCUGCUGCAUGGUGGGGGUUGGAAAGCUCCGGCGGUUGUGGAUGGACUCGCGGCCUAUCAGCUUGCUGGUGGGGUAGUGGCCUACCAAGGCGGCGACGGGUAGCCGGCCUGAGGGGGUGACCGGCCACAUUGGGACUGAGAUGCGGCCCAGAUGCCUACGGGAGGCAGCAGGGGGGAAUAUUGCACGAUGGGCGCAAGCCUGGUGCAGCAACGCCGCGUACGGGAAGACGGCCUUCGGGUUGUAAACCGCUUUCAGCAGGGACGAAGCUUUUUGUGACGGUACCUGCAGAAGAAGCACCGGCUAACUACGUG